CCUACGGGAGGCAGCAGUGGGGAAUCUUGCGCAAUGGGCGAAAGCCUGACGCAGCAACGCCGCGUGCGGGAAGAAGGCUUUCGGGCUGUAAACCGCCUUCAGCAGGAACGAAAAUGACGGUACCUGCAGAAGAAGGAGCGGCCAACUAUGUGCCAGCAGCCGCGGUGAUACAUAGGCUUCAAGCGUUGUCCGGAUUUAUUGGGCGUAAAGAGUUCGUAGGCGGUCGAGUAAGUCGGGUGUGAAAAUUCUGGGCUCAACCCAGAGACGCCACCCGAUACUGCUUGACUUGAGUUCGAUAGGGGAGUGGGGAAUUCCUAGUGUAGCGGUGAAAUGCGCAGAUAUUAGGAGGAACACCGGUGGCGAAGGCGCCACUCUGGAUCGAUACUGACGCUGAGGAACGAAAGCAUGGGUAGCAAACAGGAUUAGAUACCCUGGUAGUCCAUGCCGUAAACGGUGGGCACUAGGUGUGGGUUUCUAUUAACGAAAUCCGCGCCGUCGCUAACGCAUUAAGUGCCCCGCCUGGGGAGUACGGUCGCAAGACUAAAACUCAAAGGAAUUGACGG
rnacentral:rRNA from 1 species